UUUCGGUUUUACCUCGAUUGAGUGAUGCAAAACACCAAGAUUGUUGAGCCUUUUACAGCUCAUUAUGUGUUUGCGUUGGGUGUUGCAAGGGACAAAGUUCUUUGUAGUUUGUGAACCAGGGACAAAACUGUUUAUGAGCUCUACACAGAUUAUGUUUUGAAGAACCCCUUCUAUGAGAUGGAGAUGCCCAUACGAUUCGAACUCUUUGACAUCAACUUGACACAGGCAGUACAGAGGGAUCGUGUUGCGCUUUUGGGGCGAUAAGCUAUCCUGGAACCUUUAUCUUACCAAAAUGUCACCAUCUCUUAUCUUCAUCCGUACACUUUUGAUGGAAGAUUGCUAUCAAGUUUGUAUAAACCUGUGUAUUGGGAUAUCAUCAAGCUCCUUUGUUUAGCUCAUAAGUGCUGAAUUAUUUAUAACAUAUGAUGAUUUCUGGA